rnacentral:rRNA from 1 species
UACCUGCAGCUCGAGUGGUAACCGCUAUUAUUGGGCCUAAAGCGUCCGUAGCCGGUUUGGUAAAUAUCUGGGUAAAUCGUGAGGCUUAACUUCACGAAUUUCGGAUAGACUGCCAGGCUUGGGAUCGGGGGAGGUCAGAGGUACUCCAGGGGUAGCGGUGAAAUGUUGUAAUCCUUGGAGGACCACCGGUAGCGAAGGCGUCUGACUAGAACGAGUCCGACGGUGAGGGACGAAGCCCUGGGGCGCAAACCGGAUUACGAUACCCGGGUAGUCCAGGGUGUAAACAAUGUAGGACUUUGUAUUGGAGGUCCCACGUGGGCGUCCAGUGCAGAAGAGAAGUUGUUAAGCCACCGCCUGGGAAGUACGGUCGCAAGGCUGAAACUUAAAGGAAUUGGCGGGGAGCACAGCAACGGGAGGAGCGUGCGGUUU